rnacentral:lncRNA from 1 species
AUGUGUAACCUGGUACUUUGCUCCUGAUAGACAAUUUCUUCCUUAGCGUAUUCUUCAACUACAGCAGCUGAGCAAUGCAAGGCAAAUGUAGUGCUUGGCUUGGCUCUUCUGGAGUUCCACCUGCAACAGGGAGAUGAUCAAAGUAUCGAAAGUCUGGCCUGAGCUGGGAAAUUCAGUAAUGGAGACUCAAUGAUUUGUUCAGUAGAAACCAGACUGUAUUCAGGUCUCCUCUGAGAUUAGAUGGCAAUGGCUACGGAAAGGAGCAGAGUUGGAAAAUGCUGUCCUUUGUAGCAGUUACUAAGGCAAGGCUCUUGUUUGUGUCCUGAACCCACCAUAUUCCAAGUCAAUAAGGUAACAAGCCAAAUCCAGUUGUUCAUCUCUAUACUUGUGUGCAUGUG